AGUUUUAUGGCAAAAACAGGUGCCGGGCAUAUUCGGAAAAAGCGGGUAUGCCGGUUAAAAGGAAAGAUGGUUAGAAUCCAUCGUAAGCCAGUCAUUGCUGUAUUCGGGGACGAACGCCGCGUAUACCACUGGGACCACCGGGAAGGUGCGGUAAUUAGAUUGAUCCGUAAGCCAGAAAGCCUGCCUGAAUGCCAUGUGAAUA
rnacentral:ncRNA from 2 species